rnacentral:rRNA from 1 species
GGGAGACAGUGUCAGGCGGGCAGUUUGACUGGGGCGGUCGCCUCCUAAAGUGUAACGGAGGCGCUCAAAGGUUCCCUCAGAAUGGUUGGAAAUCAUUCAUAGAGUGUAAAGGCAUAAGGGAGCUUGACUGCGAGACCUACAAGUCGAGCAGGGUCGAAAGACGGACUUAGUGAUCCGGUGGUUCCGCAUGGAAGGGCCAUCGCUCAACGGAUAAAAGCUACCCCGGGGAUAACAGGCUUAUCUCCCCCAAGAGUUCACAUCGACGGGGAGGUUUGGCACCUCGAUGUCGGCUCAUCGCAUCCUGGGGCUGUAGUCGGUCCCAAGGGUUGGGCUGUUCGCCCAUUAAAGCGGUACGCGAGCUGGGUUCAGAACGUCGUGAGACAGUUCGGUCCCUAUCCGUCGUGGGCGCAGGAAGUUUGAGAGGAGCUGUCCUUAGUACGAGAGGACCGGGAUGGACAUACCUCUGGUGUACCAGUUGUCGUGCCAACGGCAUAGCUGGGUAGCUAUGUAUGGACGGGAUAAGUGCUGAAAGCAUCUAAGCAUGAAGCCCCCCUCAAGAUGAGACUUCCCAACUUCGGUUAUAAGAUCCCUCAAAGAUGAUGAGGUUAAUAGGUUCGGGGUGGAAGCAUAGCGAUAUGUGGAGCUGACGAAUACUAAUCGAUCGAAGACUUAAUCCAAUUUC